rnacentral:rRNA from 1 species
UACGUAGGGGGCAAGCGUUGUCCGGAUUUAUUGGGCGUAAAGAGCGUGUAGGCGGCCAGACAGGUCCGUUGUGAAAACUCGAGGCUCAACCUCGAGACGCCGAUGGAAACCGUCUGGCUAGAGUCCGGAAGAGGAGAGUGGAAUUCCUGGUGUAGCGGUGAAAUGCGCAGAUAUCAGGAGGAACACCAAUGGCGAAGGCAGCUCGCUGGGACGUGACUGACGCUGAGACGCGAAAGCGUGGGGAGCAAACAGG